GACAUUGUAUCGAAGCAUCCAGAGAUGGAUGUGUCUCUUCGGAGACGGUAUGACAGGUGCUGCAUGGCUGUCGCCAGCUCGUGCCGUGAGGUGUGGGUUAAGUCCCGCAACGAGCGCAACCCUAUCUUUAGUUGCCAUCAGUUCGGCUGGGCACUCUAUGGAGACUGCCACCUAAAGUGGAGGAAGGUGGGGAUGACGUCAAGUCAGCAUGGCCCUUACGUCCGGGGCUACACACGUGCUACAAUGGCCGGUACAGAGCGCAGCGAGGCCGCGAGGCGGAGCGAAAUCGCUUAAAGCCGGUCCCAGUACGGAUUGGAGUCUGCAACCCGACUCCAUGAAGUUGGAAUCGCUAGUAAUCGCGCAUCAGCAUGGCGCGGUGAAUACGUUCCCGGGCCUU
rnacentral:rRNA from 1 species